rnacentral:rRNA from 1 species
CCGGCCCAUGACUCGAGAAACCGCCCGCUCCUUUACCGGGAGGCAGCAGUAGCUGGAUCUUCCACAAAUGGAAGCCAGUCUGAUGAGCAACGCCCGCGUGAGUGAGAAAGGCUUCCGCGUCGUAAAACUCUGUUGUUGAGAAGAAUUCCGAGUCGGCAGAAGUGAACUGUUGUCGGCCGUGACGGUAUCCUAACAGAAAAACACGGCUAACUACGUGUCCAGCAGCCGCGGUAAUACGUAGUGUGGCAAGCGUGUAUCCGGAUUUAUUGGGCGUAAAGCGAGCGCAGGCGGUUUUUACUUAAGUCUGAUGUGAAAGCCCUCGGCUUACGAGGAAGUGCAUCUGAAACUGGGAAACUUGAGUGCAGAAGAGGACAGUGGAACUCCAUGUGUAGCGGUGAAAUGCGUAGAUAUAUGGAAGAACACCAGUGGCGAACCAGGCGGCUGUCUGGUCUGUAGACUGACGCUGAGGCUCGAAAGGGAUCAUGGGUAGCGAACAGGAUUAGAUACCCUGGUAGUCCAUGCCGUAAACGAUGAAUGCUAGGUGUGUGGAGGGUUUCCGCCCCUCAGUGCCGCAGCUAACGCAUUAAGGUCAUUCCGCCUGGGGAGUACGACCGCAAGGUUGAAACUCAAAGGAAUUGACGGGGGGCCGCCAAGCGGUGGAGCAUGUGGUUUACGAUUUGAAGCAACGCGAAGAACCUUUCCAGGUCUUGACAUCUUUUGAUCCCCCGAGAGAUCAGGUUUCUCCUUUUGGGGCAAAUAACAGGUGGUGCAUGGUGGUCGUCAGCUCGUGUCGUGAGAUGUUGGGUUAAGUCCCGCAACGAGCGCAACCCCUAUGACUAGUUGCCAGCAUUUAGUUGGGCACUCUAGUAAGACUGCCGGUGACAAACCGGAGGAAGGUGGGGAGGACGUCAAAUCAUCAUGCCCCCUAUGACCUGGGGUACACACGUGCUUACCCAUCUUACUUUUAUUCACCGGCUGCUGGCUAGCCACAAUUUAUAUCCGCCGGCUGUUCUUUUCUUGGAUUGAACUCUCCUACACGAAGUCGGAAUAGCUAGUAAUAGCGGAUCAGCACGCCGCGGUGAAUACGUUCCCCGGCCUCGUACACACCCCCCCUCACACCACGAG